rnacentral:rRNA from 1 species
GUGCCAGCAGCCGCGGUAAUACGAAGGGUGCUAGCGUUAUUCGGAAUUAUUGGGCGUAAAGGGUGCGCAGGCGGUAUGCUAAGUCAACUGUCAAAUUUCCCGUCUCAACUGGGAACCGGCAGUAGAUACUGGCGUACUUGAGGAUGGAAGAGAGAAGUGGAAUUCUCGGAGUAGCGGUAAAAUGCGUAGAUCUCGAGAGGAACACCGAUGGCGAAGGCAGCUUCUUGGUCCAUUCCUGACGCUCAUGCACGAAAGCGUGGGGAGCAAACAGGAUUAGAUACCCUGGUAGUCC